UACGAAGGGGGCUAGCGUUGCUCGGAAUCACUGGGCGUAAAGCGCACGUAGGCGGCUUUUUAAGUCAGAGGUGAAAUCCUGGAGCUCAACUCCAGAACUGCCUUUGAUACUGGAGAGCUUGAGUCCGGGAGAGGUGAGUGGAACUGCGAGUGUAGAGGUGAAAUUCGUAGAUAUUCGCAAGAACACCAGUGGCGAAGGCGGCUCACUGGCCCGAUACGUGACGCU
rnacentral:rRNA from 1 species